rnacentral:rRNA from 1 species
AUUGAACGCUGGCGGCAUGCCUUACACAUGCAAGUCGAACGGCAGCACGGGAGCAAUCCUGGUGGCGAGUGGCGAACGGGUGAGUAAAGUAUCGGAACGUGCCCAGUCGUGGGGGAUAACGUAGCGAAAGUUACGCUAAUACCGCAUACGAUCUAUGGAUGAAAGCGGGGGAUCGCAAGACCUCGCGCGAUUGGAGCGGCCGAUAUCAGAUUAGGGAGUUGGUGGGGUAAAGGCUCACCAAGCCGACGAUCUGUAGCGGGUCUGAGAGGACGACAAGCCACACGGGGACUGAGACACGGCCCAGACUCCUACGGGAGGCAGAAGUGGGGAACUUUGGGAAAUGGGAGAAAGCCUGCUCCAGCCAUGCCGCGUGCAGGAUGAAGGCCUUCGGGUUGUAACCUGCUUUUGUACGGAACGAAAAGGUUUGGCCUAAUAAGCUGAGCUCAUGACGGUACCGAAAGAAUAAGCACCGGCUAACUACGUGCCAGCAGCCGCCGUAA